rnacentral:tRNA from 1 species
GACACCGUGACCGAGCGGCGAGGUGCGCGCCUGCAAAGCGCGCUACGGCGGUUCGAUUCCGCCCGGUGUCU